rnacentral:lncRNA from 1 species
GAAUAAAAAAAUCAAUAACAUUCAUUUUAAUUUCAAUUCACAUUAUAGAAAAAAUCGAAUCGAAUUUUCCGUCCGACGAAGAAAAAAUGCUGAGAAAUCUCCGGUCCCGGCGACGCCCCCGCUACGGCGGGGGGCCCGUCAGUCGUUUCAGCGCUUCUCAUCAUGCUCUCGGUAUCCGUCCUCCUCCGCUACAUCCCCCCACACCGACGCUAUCCCUCUCACGAGGUGAAUUACGACUCCCUCCUCUCCGAUUCCGCGAACGACGACGCCACCGGCGGCGAGGACACCAUCGACGCGCUCGACGUGGUGGAGGAACAACCCACGGACGCGGAAGAAGACGACGAUCCCUCAAUAGAGGAGCAGAACACCGCUACACCCCCCCACACCGACGCUAUCCCUCUCACGAGGUGAAUUACGACUCCCUCCUCUCCGAUUCCGCGAACGACGACG